CGCGGGGCGGGGCUCCAGAGCCGCAGGUCUGGGCUGCACUCGGACCUCAGGCACAUGCGAAUGACCCGGAGUGUGGACAACGUCCAGUUCCUGCCCUUUCUCACCACGGAAGUCAAGCUAAGGUGAUUCAAACUAAAUCAACCCAAUGUCUCUCCUACCCACUCACCAUUGCUACCCUUCUCACCUCUGCCUCCUGGUGCCUCUAUGGGUUUCGACUCAGAGAUCCCUAUAUCAUGGUGUCCAACUUUCCAGGAAUCGUCACCAGCUUUAUCCGCUUCUGGCUUUUCUGGAAGUACCCCCAGGAGCAAGACAGGAACUACUGGCUCCUGCAAACCUGAGGCUGCUCAUCUGACCACUGGGCACCUUAGUGCCAACCUGAACCAAAGAGACCUCCUUGUUUCAGCUGGGCCUGCUGUCCAGCUUCCCAGGUGCAGUGGGUUGUGGGAACAAGAGAUGACUUUGAGGAUAAAAGGACCAAAGAAAAAGCUUUACUUAGAUGAUUGAUUGGGGCCUAGGAGAUGAAAUCACUUUUUAUUUUUUAGAGAUUUUUUUUUUUAAUUUUGGAGGUUGGGGUGCAAUCUUUAGAAUAUGCCUUAAAAGGCCGGGCGCGGUGGCUCACGCCUGUAAUCCCAGCACUUUGGGAGGCCAAGGUGGGCGGAUCGCCUGAGGUCAGGAGUUCAAGACCAACCUGACUAACAUGGUGAAACCCCAUCUCUACUAAAAAUACAAAAUUAGCCAGGCAUGAUGGCACAUGCCUGUAAUCCCAGAUACUUGGGAGGCUGAGGCAGGAGAAUUGCUUGAACCCAGGAGGUGGAGGUUGCAGUGAGCUGAGAUCGUGCCAUUGUGAUAUGAAUAUGCCUUAUAUGCUGAUAUGAAUAUGCCUUAAAAUAAAGUGUUCCCCACCCCUG
rnacentral:lncRNA from 1 species